rnacentral:rRNA from 1 species
ACGAGGAAAAGAAAACCACAGGGAUUGCCUCCGUAGCGGCGAAUGGAGCGGCAAAAGCUCAAAUUUGAAAUCCGGCGUCUUUGGCGUCCGAGUUGUAAUUUGAAGAAGGUAUCUUUGCGCCCGGCUCUUGUCUAUGUUCCCUGGAACAGGACCUCACAGAGGGUGACAAUCCCGUGCGAUGAGAUGACCCGGGUCUGUGUAAAGUUCCCUCGACGAGUCGAGUUGUUUGGGAAAGCAGCUCUAAGUGGGUGGUAAAUUCCAUCCAAAGCUAAAUAUUGGCGAGAGACCGAUAGCCAACAAGGACAGUGAAGGAAAGAUGAAAAGAACUUUGAAAAGAGAGUGAAAAAGUACGUGAAAUUGUUGAAAGGGAAGGGCCUGAGAUCAGACCUGGUAUUUUGCAUGCUGCUCUUUUGGGGGCGGCCGCUGCGGUUUACCGGGCCCGCAUCGGUUUGGAGCGGCCGGAUAAUGGCGGAGGAAUUUGGCCCGGCUUUUGCCGUGUGUUAUUGCCUUUGACGGUGCUUCC